GACCCUACCCGUGCCAUACAAAAAUGCAAGUUGUUUUCAGGAAGGUGUCUGGCAAAGUGGCAAUUGAGUUGCUUGGAAGGUCGACAUCAUUGGAGCUGGACUGUGAACCAUCUCAUUGACAGCAAACUUGGAUGCCACUGUGCCAUAAACCUCUGCACACUGCCAUUGACCAGUCCACCAGCUGCCGAAAACUUUGACCGAAGAGAAUAUAUGCUUCUGUAAAAUUCUCCCAUGACUAUGAUACUGGCAUGAUGUGAACGCAUGCCCGCCUUCUAAAUGAAGCUAUGAAAGCACGAAAUUCUUGGGUUCCCUGACCAGGUAGGUGGGUCAAAGGAUGCUUUGUUUUUUCUGACAUCCAGUUGCAUAUAUACCCGUACAAGGAACCUCUCUGAAGGCAGCCAUCACCCUCCAGCUUGCGUUCUCCCUAUAGCUGAUGGAACCUGAUAAGAACUCCCCCGUUCAGCGGGCCCCUUCAGUCAGCAAUUCUCCAGCCACACCGGCCAUUACACCUCCAGCCCCUCCAGGCAGCUGCAAUCCCCCGUCUACUCCUGGAGCAGGAGGUGACCCUCCGGCAGUUCAACCUGUCACACCUCCGGCAGUUCCAGAUCCAGCUGAUCCAGAUAGUGAGAAUCGCCAUGACCCUAAAGCAUUUCUUCGUGAUCCAUGAUGUUGUGAACUGAGCUAAUAUCAAUACCAGUCUUGGGGUCCAUCAACCACGAUAACACUAGUAUUUGACAAAUUCCCUGUUCCAAAGUGUACCAAAUUUCGAAUAAGAGAUCAUACUGGCAUAUGCUAAUAUGUAAACACUGUUAGUACGCUGUUUCAGAGCUAUCAUUGUAAAAAAAAUGUUAUUGGACCCAUUAUUAAGGUGUGCAUUUAUUGUGUUCCUGUUCUCAAUUAA